GAUGAACGCUGGCGGCGUGCUUAACACAUGCAAGUCGAACGAACGACUAUUAACAGAACCUUUCGGGGCGAAGAUGAUAGAAGUUAGUGGCGGACGGGUGUGUAACGCGUGGGUAAUCUGCCUUUGUCAAAGGAAUAACUAUUCGAAAGAAUAGCUAAAACCGUAUAACAUAUUAAUAGGGCAUCCUAAUAAUAUCAAAACGAUAGUGGACAAAGAUGAGCCCGCGCCUGAUUAGCUAGUUGGUGAGAUAAAAGCCCACCAAGGCAACGAUCAGUAGCCGACCUGAGAGGGUGAACGGCCACAUUGGAACUGAGACACGGUCCAAACUCCUACGGGAGGCAGCAGUGGGGAAUAUUGCACAAUGGGGGGAACCCUGAUGCAGCAACGCCGCGUGAGUGAAGAAGGCAUUCGUGUCGUAAAACUCUGUAGUAGGGGAAGAAAGAAAUGACAGUACCCUAAAAGA
rnacentral:rRNA from 1 species